rnacentral:rRNA from 1 species
AGCGGCGGACGGGUGAGUAAUGCUUGGGAAUAUGCCUUAUGGUGGGGGACAACAGUUGGAAACGACUGCUAAUACCGCAUAAUGUCUACGGACCAAAGUGGGGGACCUUCGGGCCUCACGCCAUAAGAUUAGCCCAAGUGGGAUUAGCUAGUUGGUGAGGUAAUGGCUCACCAAGGCGACGAUCCCUAGCUGGUUUGAGAGGAUGAUCAGCCACACUGGGACUGAGACACGGCCCAGACUCCUACGGGAGGCAGCAGUGGGGAAUAUUGCACAAUGGGCGCAAGCCUGAUGCAGCCAUGCCGCGUGUGUGAAGAAGGCCUUCGGGUUGUAAAGCACUUUCAGUAAGGAGGAAAGGUUAAGUGUUAAUAGCACUUAGCUGUGACGUUACUUACAGAAGAAGCACCGGCUAACUCCGUGCCAGCAGCCGCGGUAAUACGGAGGGUGCGAGCGU